CCUACGGGUGGCAGCAGUGGGGAAUAUUGGGCAAUGGGCGCAAGCCUGCCCCAGCAACGCCGCGUGAAGGAAGAAGGCUCUCGGGUUGUAAACUUCUUUUCUUAGGGACGUAACAAGUUACGGUACCUGAGGAAUAAGCCACGGCUAACUACGUGCCAGCAGCAGCGGUAAUACGUAGGUGGCAAGCGUUAUCCGGAUUUACUGGGUGUAAAGGGAGUGUAGGCGGGAAAGCAAGUCAGAUGUGAAACGCAUGGGCUCAACCUGUGGCCUGCAUUUGAAACUGUUUUUCUUGAGUACUGGUGAGGCAGACGGAAUUCGUAGUGUAGCGGUGAAAUGCGUAGAUAUUAGGAGGAACACCAGUUGCGAAGGCAGUCUGCUGGACAGCAACUGACGCUGAGGCGCGAAAGCAUGGGGAGCAAACAGGAUUAGAUACCCGAGUAGUC
rnacentral:rRNA from 1 species